CCAUAUUUGGUAACUCUACUGG
rnacentral:misc_RNA from 1 species